rnacentral:rRNA from 1 species
UACGUAGGGUGCAAGCGUUAAUCGGAAUGACUGGGCGUAAAGGGUGCGCAGGCGGUCUGCUAAGACAGAGGUGAAAUCCCCGGGCUUAACCUGGGAACUGCAUUGGUGACUGGCAGGCUAGAGUAUGGCAGAGGGGGGUAGAAUUCCACGUGUAGCAGUGAAAUGCGUAGAGAUGUGGAGGAAUACCGAUGGCGAAGGCAGCCCCCUGGGCCAAGUACUGACGCUCAUGCACGAAAGCGUGGGGAGCAAACAGG